CAGUAGCCGCGGGAAUACAGAGGGUGCGAGCGUUAAUCGGAUUUACUGGGCGUAAAGCGUGCGUAUGCGGCUUUUUAAGUCGGAUGUGAAAUCCCUGAGCUUAACUUAGGAAUUGCAUUCGAUACUGGGAAGCUAGAGUAUGGGAGAGGAUGGUAGAAUUCCAGGUGUAGCGGUGAAAUGCGUAGAGAUCUGGAGGAAUACCGAUGGCGAAGGCAGCCAUCUGGCCUAAUACUGACGCUGAGGUACGAAAGCAUGGGGAGCAAACAGGAUUAGAUACCCGGGUAGUCCCUGUCUCUUAUAA
rnacentral:rRNA from 1 species